GAGAGAGCGGCUGGGAGGACUACAUCUGGACUGGUGCUCCGCUCUCGGCUUGUUGUCACGAUCUUCCGAACCAGAAACCAAACUUAGGCACCAGCAUUUCGACUGAGACUGAAGCUUUGCGGCCGAAGUCUCGCAUUUAAGUGACAAAUAGAGUGGGUUGACCGGCAACACAAAGUGGGAAUAAAAGCUGUUAAACGAUGUCAGGUGACGGCGUGCAGUUGUUGCACAAGCGAGGUAACGUUGCGCAGCGGUUGCGCAAGUAAAGUGGAACUGUGCGGCGGUCGCACAAGUGAAGUGACGUGGUGCAGCGGUUGCACGAGAACUUCCACUGUGAGGGAGAUUACAGUCGUUGGGAGGAACGGUGCAGACGUUUGCACAUCCGGAACGGUGCAGACGGUUGCACAUCCGGAACGGUGCAGACGGUUGCACAUCCACGGACCACUCCGGGCUUACAAUGGAGGGGCUUUCGGAGAGACGAGCGGAUGGUUACACCUGGACCCAGUGGUGGAGUGACGUACCAGGAAGUGAUGAACAGAACUAACAAUUAUGACAUUUUAACAUUUUGUGUGGUGCCAAGUUUCAUUGGACCGGGCCUGGUUAGAUUAUGCGGUGGAGAUAUUCCACGAUGCCCUGAAGACCGGACACCACCGGUGUUUCCUGGGGCCAGACACUCGGCUCCCAAUGAUGUACAUCGACGACACUCUCCGGUCCACGGUCAACUUCAUGGAAGUGCCCAAUGAGAAGCUGAAAAACUGAUUCCUGGCCCCAGGUGCUGGAUGACACCAACGCUCGCCGAGACUGGGGAUGGAGCCAUUAGUAUGACCUGGAGUCCAUGUGCCGUAUGAUGUUCGAGAAGCUCAUCCCACAAUACAACCAAGUGGAGAGUGCUAAAUAUACAGAAACUGAGACAGAGACAGUCAAA